CUUUUAUAAAGAAAAUCAGAAACAUUUACCAAAAGAGAGUAAAAUAGAACUGAAAAAAAUGAAGAACUAUAAAUAACUAUCCAUGUUUUUGGACAGAAAGACUAAUAUUUUUAAAGCUAUGAAUUCUCCUAAAAGUAAUCUACAAAUUCUCAGUAAUUCUAAAGGAAAUAGUAGUGUGAUUUUUUUGAAAUAACAAGUUUGUCAUAAAAGUCAAGAAUAACUAAGACAAAGGGAGGCACAAACACUAUUAAAUAUCAAAAUAAUUUCCAAUUGGAUUAUAGUCUCAAAUAUAAAAAGCAAUGUGUUAAAACUAUUAGAAAAAAAAUAAAAAACUACUUUAUAUUUUAGGUAUGACAUUAAAAUUAUAAAGCACUGAAGAAAAAUAGACAUCACUGCUGUGUGAAUGAAAGAUGAUAUAAACACUGAUUGGAAUAAGAUAUUUGAAAUGAACCUAAUCUGUGGAAAACAGUCAAUAUUGAAAGCUUGAAAGGCCUGCCUGCAAGGUUGGUCCUUGGUUGGCAUCUGGGGACUUGGAUUUCAGGAGGAUUCCUACCAUUCUCAGAACUUCUAAGACUGGCUCAGUGUGCCUAAACUAUUUGAAUAAAU
rnacentral:lncRNA from 1 species